rnacentral:rRNA from 1 species
UACGUAGGUGGCAAGCGUUGUCCGGAUUUACUGGGCGUAAAGGGCGUGCAGGCGGUCUGUUAAGUCUAGGGUGAAAGCUCCCGGCUCAACUGGGAGAGGUCCUUGGAUACUGGCGGACUUGAGGGAUGCAGAGGAAAGUGGAAUUCCCGGUGUAGUGGUGAUAUGCGUAGAUAUCGGGAGGAACACCAGUGGCGAAGGCGGCUUUCUGGGCCUUACCUGACGCUGAGGAGCGAAAGCUGGGGGAGCGAACAGG